CCUUUGCAUGUCCUCACUCUCUCCUCUCAGAAGCAUCUCUAUUUCAUUGUCUCUUGAAAAAAAUCCAACUCAUAUAUACUGAGAAAAAGGCCCCUUAAGCUCUUUGGAAGCUCUCUUGAAGAACAAUCGAUCACUUCUUAAAGCUCUUUUGAAGAACAAACUUUUAAUAACAUCAAUGGCUCCUUCGCCUGGAGGUUGUAUCUUGUGGAUGAAAAAUCUUAAUGGUAUGAGCGAAUUCG